rnacentral:rRNA from 1 species
CUCGUAGGCGGUUCGUCGCGUCCGGUGUGAAAGUCCAUCGCUUAACGGUGGAUCCGCGCCGGGUACGGGCGGGCUGGAGUGCGGUAGGGGAGACUGGAAUUCCCGGUGUAACGGUGGAAUGUGUAGAUAUCGGGAAGAACACCAAUGGCGAAGGCAGGUCUCUGGGCCGUUACUGACGCUGAGGAGCGAAAGCGUAGGGAGCGAACA